rnacentral:snoRNA from 1 species
GGUUUUUUUUAAAGGUGCAAAUUAAACACCCUGGCAGCCACAUUCUGCUUUUGAUUUCGGGUUUUUUGGCCUCGGAGCUGCAUAAGGAAAGUUA